UCGAAACGAGUUUGUGGAGUUGGAACCUUUACCUACGUUCGCCGCUAGGGGCGCUGUUCCGACUCCAUACAAAUUUGAGUUA
rnacentral:pre_miRNA from 1 species